UACGGAGGGGGCUAGCGUUGUUCGGAAUUACUGGGCGUAAAGCGUACGUAGGCGGCUUUGUAAGUUAGAGGUGAAAGCCCGGGGCUCAACCCCGGAAUUGCCUUUAAGACUGCAUCGCUUGAAUCGCGGAGAGGUGAGUGGAAUUCCGAGUGUAGAGGUGAAAUUCGUAGAUAUUCGGAAGAACACCAGCGGCGAAGGCGGCUCACUGGACGCGUAUUGACGCUGAGGUACGAAAGCGUGGGGAGCAAACAGG
rnacentral:rRNA from 1 species